rnacentral:lncRNA from 1 species
CUUUAGUGAGUCUGUAGGAUGCAAACUGUCUUCACAAACUCUGCAGGAAGUUUCUGGUGGAGAGUUUCUGGGCACUUUGGGGGUGGUUUAAGUGUGUGUAGAGGGGUGUGGAUAGGAAGGUGGGGCAACAUAAAGGAAAUGAAGUGAUUCAUGCUCAACUGCGAUUGCCUGAGCAUUAAAUUCAAUCAGCGGGAAACCCAAUCUCCCCACUGCAAAGGGAAACGUCCAACUUGGAGUGUUGCUCUCCAAGCAACACAGCCUUCACCCUCUCCUGAUGGGACCUACCCAGGCGGUUCACCAAGGACCCCUCCAGAGCUCUCAAGUGCAUGGGUAGUUCUCAGACUUCAUGUUUUCUAUGGCUGUUGAGCUGUUUGCACCUCCUUUGGGAAGAGCAGAGGGAGCUCCUGGUUCCUCUGAUUCCUCCUCCUAAGAACGCAUAGACCAGACUGGUUUCUAGGUUUCCUAGAAGUCCAGAACAAGGCCACCCCUGAAACAGCUGUGUCUCAGAGAAUAAAAAAUCAUUCAAACUAAAUAGAAGACAAGAACCAUUCAUUACCCAGAACCGUUC